AAACCAGCACCUCAAGUGGUCAGGAGGAUUAUUGGGCCUAAAGCAUCCGUAGCCGGCUCUGUAAGUUUUCGGUUAAAUCUGUACGCUUAACGUACAGGCUGCCGGGAAUACUGCAGAGCUAGGGAGUGGGAGAGGUAGACGGUACUCGGGAGGAAGGGGUAAAAUCCUUUGAUCUCCCGAUGACCACCUGUGGCGAAGGCGGUCUACCAGAACACGUUCGACGGUGAGGGAUGAAAGCUGGGGGAGCAAACCGGAUUAGAUACCCCAGUAGUCC
rnacentral:rRNA from 1 species